AUGCAAAAAAAACGCUUUCUACAUGUUAGUGCAGAAAAAACAUACUGUAGAAUUCUUCUUUGCCUCGCACCAGAGGAUAUGGACAAGAGUGUCGCGAGCAAAACAUGGGAAACCCGGGCAUGCGAAUACGAUCGACCAUGCGACCAUUUUUCUUUUAAUGAAGGGAAAAGUAUAUUUUUUGUCCCUCAACUUUAUCAAAAGUUUAGAAAGAAUCCCUCAACCCUAAAACCAGAAAAACCUAGUCCCUCAAUUGUUGAAACCGGAUAUUUUUCGUCCCUCAAACCGUGGUUUUGUGCUGACGUGGCAUGGUUUUGA
rnacentral:rRNA from 1 species